rnacentral:rRNA from 1 species
UGGGGAAUAUUGCACAAUGGAGGGAACUCUGAUGCAGCGACGCCGCGCGAGUGAUGAAGGAAUUCGUUUCGUAAAACUCCGUUCUAUGGGAAGAAAAGGACUGUACCAUAGGAGAAAGCUCCGGCUAAAUACGUGCCAGCAGCCGCGGUAAUACGUAUGGAGCGAGCGUUGUCCGGAAUUACUGGGCGUAAAGGGUGCGCAGGCGGCUUUACAAGUUGGAUAUGAAAUAUUGUGGCUCAACCACAAACGUGCAUCCAAAACUGCAAAGCUUGAGUUAAGGAGAGGUAAGUAGAAUUCCUGGUGUAGCGGUAGAAUGCAUAAAUAUCAGGAGGAAUACCGGUGGCGAAGGCGACUUACUAAACAUAAACUGACGCUCAGGCACGAAAGCGUGGGGAGCAAACAGG